UUACAAAUAAAAUUUUAUGAAAUAUAAUUCUGUUAACUUAGUUGUUUUACUUUGUAUUUUCUGUUAAUUUAUUAGUUUAGUGUUUUAAUUGUUGUUAAGUUUUUACUUAGGACAAAACUGUUUUGUGUUAUGUCUUAGAGUUUUCUUUAGUAGUUUUGUUGUGUAGUUUUCCUUUGUUUUUAUUUGGUGUCCCUUGUUGAUUUGCAUUUUAUUUGUUGGUUUUAUUAUGAGUGUUAGAAUUGCUUGCUAGUAUGUUUGCUUAUAUGAAUGCUAUGUUUGACUAUAUAGAUUUUCAACGGAGUGACGAAUAGUUCUACCAAGUCAUUAUUCUAAGAGCGUUAUUAUCUUCAUCAAGUAUUACCAGGCAAGUUCACUUUGACCAUGUUUUUCAUACCUAUAUUUUAUUGCAUUUAGUGUCAUCUUUGCAACAAUCCCUCCAGUAGUGAUAUUGAAUUCUUGUAGUUGAGUAGUAUGCAUGAGGUAGGAACCCAUCACCCUGUUACCAAGCCCGGGACGUUAUUUAUUUUAAUGCUAUGCUAUAGUAGACGGGGUUUGGUAUGAGUGCACGAGAGUGGUGUGAAGAAGGAGGACUCUACGUCAAUGACGACAACUCCAUGAUGGCAUAUGCGAGGACUGCAUCUUCAAGGCCUCAAGACUUCAAGACUCGAGACAAGAAUUCAAUACACACUACUGGGUGAAGGACGGUUGACGGGCACCCUGGAGAAACCAGUGGAUGGCCAGGAUGCAUGGAGAAGCGCCAUGACAUAUUGCGGAAAGCUUCACCCAGUCUCAAAGAGACGGAAGAAUACUUCAUGCCCGGAAGCUUACCUGUGCAACCGCAAGUCACUAUGGGCUCUGGCUUGGUUGACCUUAGUUGUGACUCUGGCUGGGACGGUGCUAGCAGAUGUAGAACUACGGUAGGAUUGGAUGAGCACCGGACAGUGGUCAGGGGAACUCUUCGGAAGACCAUGUUUCGGUCGUCUUGUUCUCAAACACCCAGAAGUGCGAGAACGUAAAAAGAAGGAUCGAAUCUUGCGGGUAAAGUGUACAAACCUCUGCAGAGGGUUAAAACCUAAUCGAUUAGCCGUGUCCCCGGUUACGGACAAUUUGAGCCUCUGGACUUGGAUCUAUCUCGGAACUCUCAACACCAGACUGAUAACAUAAUUGUGGGCAAGUUAUGAUGAUUUUGGGCUAUGAGACAUCGGUUGGUGGAACCAUGUCAUGAUAGAAAACUCCGUAGUACAGACUCCUGAUGUUCCUUUGUUAUAGGAAAAUAAAAUCAGCUUUUACGCAAACAAAACUCAGAUACAGAGACACAAAGCCAUAUUGCAUAUAGUAUAGUUUAUCAUCUGUUUUUCUUACAGUGAUCUUGCCUGUACAUUCAAUGUACUGACCUACAUGGCGCAACGUAUCAUGUUGCAGAUACUUUCUUCCAACGAGUAAGAGUACGGUACAGGGUUACGGUCUACACUCAACCUGCCGAUGGCGUUGAUGGGACUCCACACCCGACUAUUUGUUUCUGCUGUGACUUAUGAGGUAUAUAUAUAUCAGUUUUACGUUAUUUAUACAUGUGAUUGCACUUUGAUAUAUACAUUGAUGUACUGUGUGUGCCGCCAUACUGAUCCAGGGAUGGCACAGAACCAUAGAGACUUGACCGUCUGAGGUCGGGUCGCUACAGAUAUGGUAUCAGAGCACAUGUUGACUGUAGGACGUGACCCUAGAAAUCGGAAAGCCCUAGGAUAGGAUAUCUCUAAAACUUUAUUUUCAAAAAGACUCUUACUUCUCGUCUUUUCUGAUUUUUUCAAGUAGUCCCUCUUACCUCCAAUAGCCGGAGUAUACCCUUUUCCCUUUUGAUCACACGGAGGAUCAACUAAUGUCACUCCAAGAAGUGCAAGAUAUCGGACAAAUGAUGACCAACUCAGAGUAAAGAGGAUUACACUAUAUAUUUCGGAGGAAAGAAGCAACAACAGUUGAAGACUCUGAAGGCUUGAAGAAUUCAGAGACUCUGAAGAUUGAUUUGACCUUUAGAAGACCAAACCCCUGUUAUAUAUACUUACGUUAGAUACGAUGAUUUGUGAGCUGUCAUUUGUAUGAUGUUUUUUCGACAGCCGCAAAUAAAACCUAUUUUAAAAACUAUUGUUUGUAUUGUGUGUAUAUCGCUCUAUUCUUCUCUCUUAUCUCACCCUAAAACCCUUGGAACCAAUAGGUGAUGAAUGAAGAAGGACUGAUAUUCUCUGGACCGAUGACUCAGCCGAAGGCAGAGCUAUGGAUUAAAAACAUGGAGGAUCACUUCAGAAAAAAAUGAUUUCAAGGAAGUAUGAGGUUCAAGAUGCUAUUCAGUAUUUUACCGAGAGUGCUGCAACCUAGUGGAAAAUGCAUCAAGCCAUACAAGGAUGCAACGGAGCAAAAACUUGGGAGGAAUUCAAGAAGACUCUGUUGAGAUCUCGUCUUAUUCGGAAGAACUAUGAUAACCCGAAGAAGAAACCUUGUGCCUGCAAGAUUUGCGGAGAAAUAGGACACACCCAGGAGGAACACAAGGAUGGAUGCCCUCAUUGUGCGGAGAAUCAUCCAGAUGAAGAAUGCCCCACUAGGCAGGUGACUUGCUUGUUGUGUGAAGGAACUACACACGACCCUGGUCAAUGUCAUAUUUACCCCAAGGUACAAGAAAUUACCAAGCAGCAGAAAGAAGCCAUGAAAGAAACCCUCAGGGAAAAUUCAGAAGAACCUGUGAUGAAGGAAGUUAUUGAAGACCCUGAUGGUGAAGGCCUAAACAGAUUUUCGCCCAAGCCUGCUAUACAUGUGGAGAAGAUGGACAUUUUUCAGAGUAUUGAACGAAGGAAAGCCAAGAGUAUCUCAGAGACUUCCCGACAGCAGAUGUAAAGUUUGACCCUCAGGAAAUAGAAGCUCUGAUCAUUACGGAGAAAUCUAGAAAGAGAAAACGAAGGCAUACCCAGAACACCCCAAUUUCUGCAGGAAAGGACCUGAGUCAGAUCACUUGUUACAAGUGCAAGACCUUAGGUCACUAUGCCAAUAAAUGUCCAGAGAAGAAGCCUAGAAUACAAGGAGCCUAGAUAAUCACAAAGAAGCCCCGAGACAUUUGUUUUCGCUGCAAGGAAGCAGGACAUUUUUCUAGGGAAUGUUCAAAUCAGAAGAAAGCUGGAGCUGAGUAGCUGAAUGCUAUGUUUGACUAUAUAGAUUUUCAACGGAGUGACGAAUAGUUCUACCAAUUCAUUAUUCUGAGAGCGUUAUUAUCUUCAUCAAGUAUUACCAGGCAAGUUCACUUUGACCAUGUUUUUCAUACCUAUGUUUUAUUGCAUUUAGUGUCAUAUUUGCAACAAUCCCUCCAGUAGUGAUAUUGAAUUCUUGUAGUUGAGUAGUACGCAUGAGGUAGGAACCCAUCACCCUGUUACCAAGCCCGGG
rnacentral:lncRNA from 1 species